GCUCAGGAUGAACGCUAGCUACAGGCUUAACACAUGCAAGUCGAGGGGUAGCAGGGUAGCAAUACCGCUGACGACCGGCGCACGGGUGAGUAACACGUAUCCAACCUUCCCAUAACUCGGGGAUAGCCUUUCGAAAGAAAGAUUAAUACCCGAUAGUACUUUAUUAAGGCAUCUUAAGAAAGUUAAAGAUUUAUUGGUUAUGGAUGGGGAUGCGUUCCAUUAGAUAGUUGGUGAGGUAACGGCUCACCAAGUCUUCGAUGGAUAGGGGUUCUGAGAGGAAGGUCCCCCACAUUGGUACUGAGACACGGACCAAACUCCUACGGGAGGCAGCAGUGAGGAAUAUUGGUCAAUGGGCGAGAGCCUGAACCAGCC
rnacentral:rRNA from 1 species